AAAGAAUCACUUUUUCUAAGUAUGUCGGAGUGAUUGAGCAGAGAGAAAAAUGAAUACCCUAAGCGAACUAGAAAUCUGGAAAGAACCGAAAUAGAGGCAGUGUCUCAUGACACUUUACUUGAGGACUCACCUGAUGAACUGCUGAUCAACUCUAUAAUUUUUCUUUCUAGGAUUCCUUCACCUAACCAGAACUGACUUCAUCAGAGAGUUAUGAUGGUUAACUCUAUCAGUCUUCUACCUGAAUGCCCCAAGAUAUUGAUGAAGUCAACAAAAACAUUGAGCCUCAGAACACAAGAAAUCUUGGACAAACUGGGAGACAGCUUGUCAGUAUCUAAGGUCUCUGUCUUGUCCUGGAGAUGUCCCCCAUCUCCUCAUCCCCAUCAGCUGAGGAUUUCCAUUUGUUUACAUGGCCCUCCAGGAUCUCUCCUGCACUUCCCCAGACUUGAUCCUGAAGCCUCCAUUUCCCUCCCUAUAGAAAAGAGCAGGUCUCAUGGUGAUAUCAACUUAACACUGCAGUAACAAGAUGCAAUAAGAGGAGACAUAAACUCUCACAUCAAGGCUUGAAGAAGUAACCCAGCAG
rnacentral:lncRNA from 1 species